GGUGACGUGGCCGAGUGGUCCAAGGCGCUGGAAUUAGGUUCAUGCUUACGCAAUCCAGUCCUCCGGGGCGUGAGUUCGAACCUCACCGUUAUCA